AUCUUCGGCAAUGGGGGCAACCCUGACCGAGCAACGCCGCGUGAGUGAAGAAGGUUUUCGGAUCGUAAAACUCUGUUGUUAGAGAAGAACGUUAAGUAGAGUGGAAAAUUACUUAAGUGACGGUAUCUAACCAGAAAGGGACGGCUAACUACGUGCCAGCAGCCGCGGUAAUACGUGGGUG
rnacentral:rRNA from 1 species